AAAACAAAACACAACAGACUCAUCGUUUCUCAUUGGAUCAGUGCUGGGGCUUCAAAGAGGCCUGCUCAUCCCCAUGCUCUUGCGACCCUUUGCCGGAUGCCUCCCUACAGCAGCCGUGCAGAACAGAACUCUUUCUAAAACGUCACCCACAGCAGACGCCAGUGCUUCAGCCAUGGCUUGAACGUUCUCACGUCUCCCACUAUUAUCUGCAUCUGAGUUCUCUUUACUCCCCUUAAACUACGACCGUGAAAGAGAGCGAUUUCUACAUCAUUUAGUUAUUUAUCUCCGUAAUACUCAGGAGUGAAAUUUUUAAAAGUGGCUACCAUUACUCUUGCUGCUAACAAUUGGCAGCUAUCCUGGGGAAGUGGUACGCGGGAUGAAAUGAGCCCCUGUAGGAAACAUGGCCUUUUCUUGUUUCUAAUAUUUUUUCGUCUUUGGUGUCAUCAGUCAAAUUAAUCUAUUUUCUCUUUCCACAUGACUCUCCAAAGUGAGAGAGAAGUUAAGGGUUUGAAGAGGCUGUUCUGGGCUUCCCACUGAACAUGGGGCUUAGGAUGUGGCUGGGCACCUGCUUCCCUUAACCCCUUGAGAUCUGAGAAUUCAGAACCCUUUCCUGUAGCCUAGCAAAAACAAAAACAGGAACAAACAAGGUGGGGGUGGGGUAUGUGGUGGCAUGGGGUGGGGGAUGUAUUACAGAAUACCAGUGCUGGUAUCAUGUUUCUCUUCCCCAUCUCCAUGUCCUAUUCCUCUUCUUCAUUUAUUAUUGUUUUAAAAAAUAACUCAUUGUGUCCAAUUAGUGGUACCUAUUCAUGGCACCAUCCACUAGAGCUUAAAAAAUACACAGACUCUACCUCAUGCUCAUGUAUACUCGAGGGUACAGACCUGACAGUAUACAGAAGACAAGAGAGAACAAUGUAAAGGGCUGAGAGAAAUACAAGUUCUGAGACUUGGGGAGGCACGGUCUCUAUGUAGGAUCCGUGAGUGCCCGGGCAUACUUGGAACUGACACCCGCCGGGACCUACAGGAUGGAGACCUAGCAGGUUAUUGAUUUUGCAGGUGUCUGAAUUUGAAGUGACAAAUUACUUGGUUACAGUCAGCUUUAGUGUUGCCUUCUUUACACAACUACACUAACACAUUUCUAGGCAACUUUGAGGACUCUUAAAAUUAAAACGUUUUAUAAAUAACAAAGCCACAGAGGGAAAACCAGGUGUAUUUACUAUUAUCAAAGUUCAUCUCCAUGUGCGUGUCUGAACAUAGCAACAGCAGCACAGAGGGAUCGCCUCAGUUACCCUGCUCCUCUGGAUCAUUUAGCUGCUGGCUAUGGUAUAGAGCUUCCAUGGUAUAGGACUUCUAUGUUCUAGAACUCCCAUGGUAUAGAACUUCUAUGGUAUAGAACUUCUAUGGUGUAGAGCUUCCAUGGUGUAGAGCUUCUUGUUCCAUCUCUGACUCCUUCCCCUUGCCCUCUGCUACAUGUGCUAUUCCCUCCAUCCCAUGCCAUUCAGAGAACACAGCCCUACACUCCUGCAGAGGCAGACUCAGGUACCUCACAUCUCUGUGUCUAAUCCCUUUGGGGGGGGGGUGAGGAUACACAGCCACCAAGUCUUGUGAAGCUAUGCCAGCCAUCUCAGCCAUUCCCCCGACACAUUCGUGACAUCCUCCUGCCGUAGAGGCUGAGGAUUUAUGUGACUUUAAUUGAAGGCUACAGAAGGGACAGGGAAACAUCAGCUCCUAUCAAUCACCGCGUCCCUUGCUUUCAUUGUGUACUUAACAGCUUGUUACUUAUUCAGGAGGGGGAUUCUGCACUGAGUCUGUCUCCGUGCAAACAGUCUUCCCAGGCUGAAGAAAGCCCUGAAACAGGGAGGUGGCCUCAUUAGGCACACAGGCCUGUGCCGCAUACCGAAACAUGGAGACACAGUGCUGAUGACCACGACUACAGUGGGGGAGUCAAGGGUUCCAGCAUCCUCCCGCUUUCCUGUCUAUGUCCCCGCAAGACUUCCCAGGCGUGUUUGACACCAUGGCCCUUUGUUGUGUUUUCAAAGCGAUCCUUGCUUGGCUCUUCUCAACAAUGAACUCUGCGACUGUUUAACUGAAAUCUCCUAUGGGGGGAACUUGAUGUCUGGUUUACUGUGCUCUCUUACAGAAUGCCUGCAGCACAGCAGACCCCUGAAGGAGCGAGCAUACGGCUGCAUGCACGUGAGGAAUGCUAACACUCAGUCUUGGUUCUGACUCCCCUUUUACCUUACGCCUCUACGCCAUCUGUAGAGGCUUGAGGACCCUUCAUCUUUAUCUUUUCUAAGGGCCAUCCUUUAGGGGGCUCAUUCAAGACCCAGUACGGUUAUCACCCGGCUCUCAGGUACUGCCUUGGCGUGUGAUGCUGAACUGUUCCUCCUGACCCCCAGGCAGAUCUCAGUCCCAAGUUUACCCGCCCAAGGUUUUGCUUCCCAACUUAGCUCAGCCCACUACCCUGGUGGUCGAAGUUAGGUUCCUACUUGCCAGUCGUUUCCCACUGAGCUACUGAUGUGUCUGACCCUGCGGACAGGCUCUUCUGUGAACCAAGGAAGAUGUCACCUGGGAACCAGUUAGAGGUCGCUUGGGCCUUUGUGUGGUCUUUAAAAUAAGGGGGUUUGCAAGCCAAUGAUGCGUAUUUUCUUAAUCCGUUUCACACAGAAGAAGGGGUUUUAGUGUGAGAUUUGCAAUCUUGUUCUUCAUCUAUUUCCCUAUUUCAACCUGACUACCUGGUUCAAAUUACCAACUGAUACCUGGGUAGGUUAUCAUGCAGAGAUAAGUGCCCCCUGCCCCACUGCGCCCCCAACAAUGGAGCAAACAUGACGGUCACCAUACAUGUGACUUCAGUAGUCCCUGGUGGGUGGGCAUGGAGUGACAGUGACCAUCAUGAGCCAACACAGUGAGCCUACAACCUUGAGCUGAAUAUACAAGGUUCCCAUGGGUCUGACACGCCCCGGGGAGUUUCCAUUCCUCUGCCCUAAACCUCUAGGGUUACUGGGAAUUUCUCCAAGGGCACAGGGAAGUGCUUGUGCUUGGAUUCAGAUUCCCCAAACAACAAGGAAAAAACCCAGGGGGCUCAGCGAGCCCCUCUGGAGGUCUGAACAGGUGAGACUGGCAGCUCUGCCUUGGGUUCCACUGGUGGUGGCCGAGUUGGCAGCCAUAGAGAUUUGCUGUGGCAGAAUACUUAAAGAUGUUCACACAGAGGGACAGAAGGGACAGUCGUUCAUUGUCCUCCUAUGGGACUCCAUCACUUGAAAAGUAAGGCCUAGAAAUUACAAUAUCAGCCGACUUCCAUACAUCCAUUUCCUUCACAAUGGUUGGCAUAUGCUGAGAAGGGAAUGCUCGGAGGGGCUGCUCACCACCACCCGGCCUUGCAAAGAACAAGGACACAGGAAGGAAGAAACGCAAUCACUAGCCCAAGGAAGAGACACCCAGGGAUGGGCACCAUUGUGUAGGAUGAGGUGAGGGAUAAUACAAAUUAUGAUUUCAGACCCUGGUAGGCAAGCUACACCAUGUUCUUUUCACAUCUGAAUCUCUGUACAGCAUGUUCUUGGUGACUACAGUCAAGGUCCUUGGAACACUCACAGUAGCUUACUUGAGUUUUUAAAAAGCCAGGUAUAAAUAUCAAUGCUGCUGCAGAGUACGCAGAAUAAAAUUUAACAUCUUUUGAGGGAGUCUUACUUCUGAGGCGCUGUUUGAAGUGCUUUAAGUGUCCUAUCUCGUUAGAUUUACAAUUCGCCAUCCUGUGAAAUCAGUCCUGUGGUCUCUGCCCUUUGCCAUACGAUCACAGACAGGCCCUGGGCAUGGCAAGUUUCUGGGAACAUACAGAUACUGAGCCAUGAAGUUGAGGGAGACUCUUCCCUUCCUUCUUUCCUUCUGAAGAUAAGGAGGGUCUCCCAGCAGCUGGGCUCUAGCUCACCCCCACUAUCCUCCUGGUUCAGCAGGUCAAGUACCAGAAUAAGGAGGCUGGAGCUUAGCUGACUGCCCCAUCUCAGGAGAACUACAGAGCAAGCAUCAGGAAGACAGGCAUAUACUCUGAGCCACAAGAGGAAGCCAGCAGAGAAACCUGUGUGUCCCACACAGAAUAGCCCUUGGAAAAGUGGUUUUACAUCAGGUCAGUUUCGCCUUUAAUGUGUUUGUUGGCCUCCUGCUGAGACAGAAUAGGUUCACCUUGUGAGCAGGCAAGCUCAGGCUGCCAGCCCUCAGCUCUUCAGAGCCACCCAGAGUUUUCCCAGGGCAAAGGCUUCCUGUCUCCCUCCCUUCAGUGUCCCCUACCUAGCUCUCAUGGUGGCAGCCUCUAUACCUAAAAUAUCAUAGUGCCUCAUGUCCCCCCAGUCCUCUCUGGGUUCCCUUAGUCCCCCCACCCCCGACCCAUACGCCCUGAAACCCAGCAAACCUGACCCUGCCUACAGUUGCCCAAUUGACGCAGAGCACAGUUCCGAACCCGUUCUCUCCCAUGCCUCUUUGGAGACUUUUCUUCCCUGUGAGCCACUCCGAGGCUACCACUCACACCUGUUUCAGUGUACCAGGCUGGCACGAUGCUUCAUGUCCUUUGUGGACACAGUGUGGCUUCUUUGGAAGCUUUUUUCAGAAUGGUCUAUGAAACGCCCCACUCCCCACAGCACCAGCCCAGCCUCAGCCUGGCUAUGGAAGCUGGGUGUGUCUGGGGUCCUGCAAGCGGUACCAGAGAGGCAAGGGUGGGAAAGCACCUCCCCCACUUUCCAGAGGCCAAUCAUUGUCUAAGGUAACCGUGAUUCCAAGUACAUGCCCUUUCACAGCUGGCCCACAUUCCAGGACAACAUCCAACAGAGAGCAGAGCCCUUCCAAAGGCAGAAUGAAUGGCUUUCCCGGUAUUAACUCCCUGGUGUUUAAUGUCCGUGGACUCUGCAGAGAGCCACCUCCGAGAAUCCUGCAGGCAUAAUUGCCUUUCUUGCACUAGACCAGACCUCCGCAUCUCAAUGUGGUUGUGGGGCACUGCCCAGAAUUAAGAACUACAGGAGUCAAAGAGACACAGCUGGAUUACUGACCCUAGAAGGACGGGGCGGCCUGCCUGCUCCAGACCUUGCUGGGAGGUGAAGGCUAUCGUGGGAAAAUGACUACGUAUGAGAGACAAGGAGAGUCCACUAGUGAGAGAGACAAUGCACUUAUUCUACGACGGGGUGGACUGCCUCGUCCUCAUUAAUGGUGGAAACUGAAGAGUAAUACUCCAUUUCACUAGGGACUGUUGUUAAAACAAGUCUCAAAGAGGAUAUAAGGAAUGGAACCAUUACCAGACCUGCAACCCACUGAUGAUGCAGAAGCCACUCGGCCAGGAAAACAAGAGAAGGGGCAACAGAGAAGUGAGAGGUGAGGGAGAGGCUUGCUUGGGGUAUGCUGGGUCGGGGCUCACUGGGGUCGGGGCUAGCUGGGGCCAGGCCGAGAAACAGAAGCUGUGCACUGAAGGCCAGUGUUGUGAUGAACUAAGACAGUCCUUUCAGUUCCACUGGGAAACAGUUUCAAGUGGCCAUCACCAUCUGAAGGCCAGGUAUGGGAACUCAUUUUUUCUUCAGAGUGUGGAAUGGGUGCCAGAACCCUGACAACUGUACACCUCAGGAAUGGCUGCCGUGGAGAGUGGGGUGCUCUCCUCGCAGCUUAGUGCUGACUACUCCUGAGGCCUGGGCUGGGUUCUGGGCUGGGAACCUAUAAGCCAAUCCACCUUUCUGGAACACAGAGAGCAUGUAUAAGAAAGCCAGAAUACUCUCCCAGACGUCACUGGAACCAUCUACUGUGCUGCGGUGACAGAGGCCCUGCGAUGUCUGACCCCUCAGAAACUCUCGCUGACUUCUGCCAUGUUCACAGUGAAGUCUGCCCUCCCAGAUGCAAAUCUCUGAAGCCAGAAAACCCCUCCAGGUUUCUCCUUUUCAAACUGUGGCCAGAGGGUGGCAAUCAAAACUAAUUCAAUAGGACACACCGUGGGGAGGGGAUGGGGCUGCAUGCACAGACAGGUACAGUACUGAAGUCGAAUGAGUUUUCACAAGACUGACUGUUUCUGAAGACAUAUCAAGAAAUGUGUUCUGUGGAAGAGGAGCUGGGCAGCCCUUUCCUGAAGAAAGAGACAGACACGUCACAGGAGAUGGGACAGCUGUGCAUUUGCCCCAUGGGACCAGCAUGACUUCCCACCUGGCUGAGUGCUCACCACACAGGUGAGCCUGGCUUCUGGCUCAUUCCUGUGUGUGCUUGCGAUUCUUGUGUAUCUUAAGCUUCUGCAUGGUAUGGAGCGCUGACCAGGAGGUUGGUACUAUCUAUUGAGUCAGUUAAUGAGCCUGGUCACUCCUCCUAAUGUCCUGGUUCUGACACAACCUUCUGUCCCUGCAGAAGGCUUCAUCUUGGCAGCAGGUGUGGACUCUUCUUGCCAGUGUGGCCUGACCAGAGACAUUUCUACCUCCUGUUAUUUUCUAGAUCCCCGUGAGUGCUCAUCAUCCAACAUGAGGGCCAGCACUGCAUCUUCUGAGACAAGGCAGAUGGGGAGAAGUUCAAGGGGACAGUGUCACACUGUCUGUCUGGAUGCUGUGUGUCCUCCCAAGGCAAUCUCUAAGAACCAUGCCAAGGCUUCUUAAAAAUGUCCAGCUCAGGUUUCUCCACAUGGAGGGAGUGAAGUUCAGGCCUUGAGCUUUUACUAAAGAGUUUACUUUUUUAUUGACUAGUGAAGCAGGCUCCCUUAGGGUUGUCGAGGCCAGGGAAGGGGGAGGUAAUUUUAUGCUUAUAUGGUGUCCGUUAGUCUCUGGGUGCCAUGACGCCCUCCUUCCUAACCAUGGAGCUGUGCUCUGUCUUAAGAGUAACUAAGGGCUCACAGGGAGGUGCCAUUCACAUGGGUGAAUUUGAUCCUCACCAUGUGAGGUACCUGUUCAGGGCCUGUUCUUCUGUUUCCUAGCUUGCCUUCCUCAUCUACAAUCUGUGGAUACUCUCGACGCCUACCUCUGUACUCACGCCAACAAGCUGGUGAGUUCUGCCCAGGGAUGGAGACCCAUCUGCAUAGAGAGCUGCUCUGCUGAGCUACCAAACACUCCUUCCACCUUGAUACACUCGGGAGGCUCCGAUAACUUCCAGGACAGCACAGGAUUUGAACCUUGUGACUAUGGAUGGUAUGCAGCUAGUGAGAGCGACUUCAUCCUACAGUGGCCAUGAGAUGAUGGAUGGACAGCAGAUGCUAUCAAUCUAUGGAUUCUCUGAACUGAAACGACCAAGCCUCUUACUAAGAUUGCUGCAGUUUGGAAUUCGAUAUCUUUUGGUAUCAAACCUACAAUGUGACUGUGAAUUACUGUUUCCACGUGGGAAGAUGAGAAUGUUCCCCCUGGUACUUCCUACCACAGUGAUUUCCCUCAUGCAUGGAUGAAGCAAUAAAACAUAUGAUGGGUUGGAACUCUGAAAAUGUGAGCCCAGGUAAACCUUUCUUCUUUUUAUGUUUGCGUAUCUCAGGUAUUUCAUCACAGUGAUGGCAAGUCCACCAACACAGGAUAGUAAAUAUUACACACCUAAACAUCCUCUUUUGCUAUUGAGCUUGGGAUCUAUAGAUCUUAUUAUUUUUUUUUUUUUUAGAUAAUAGAUCUUUCUACUUUCUUGAUCAUGGAAAGACAUACAAUAUCGUAAAAUCUAGAGACUUCUACUUAUAACCUAAUCGCUCUUAACCCACAAGAGUUAGUUCUUGGGUUGGAAGCUCCAACAGCUUCCCUACACCACCUACAAGGCCUCGGAUGCAGAAGCCUGCUGAUAAUGUCCACCUUCAAGACAAUAGCUAUUCUACCUUCUCUUAAGUCAGAUAUGUACUGAGAUGAAUACACCAUAACCAUUCUUUUACGGAGGCGAAGUUAUUCUCUGAGGUAAUCGUGAAGCUGAGUCCUAGCAAAGGUUUGUAAGGAGAUGCCUAGCAGACAUUUCUAGCAUGUAACAAAUGCCACCAGGGUCACCCAGAAUGAAGAACGAAUGCCCAGACUCACGGACAGUCCCUGUUCUGAAGGCCACCAGCUGGGCCUUUCUAGGCCAAGGACCUGGGCAUUGUUGUUGAAUGGAGGAGGAGGAGCGUUCAGAGAACUCCACUGGUCAUGUAUAAAUUUGGGAAGUCCAACAGGAUCUACGGCUACCGGUUGUUAACCAUGGAAAUGGUAUGGCCAACACUUCAAAGACUUAGUGUUUCUGGAGGUCCCAGCCAGGUAAGUUUGAGAUGACUCAGACAUCGGCAUUAUUGACGCCCAUCUAAGCAUCUAUCCUAGCAUGAGGUUUUCCUCUGGUUAUGCCAAAGCUCUUUCAUGUUCUUAUUUUGUGUUGAAUGAAAACAUCGGAAUUUCCAGAAUCCCGGAUAUCUGCAUUUGAAAGACCUCAAUGGGGGACUCGGAGGUCCUUGACUUUGCCGAGCUUCAGUAAGGAGGGACAUGUCUCCUCUCUUAGGACUGUUGGGAGGACUAAGUACAACCAUACAUGUCAGUCCUGGAACAAGGCCCUGUUCAUUCCUUCAUCAGUCAGAUUUUCCUCGCUGAGACCAGACGCCAGAGAGAGAAACUCAGAGGAGCAUGUUCCAAAGCUUCUGAGGCCUUGGUCUGAUUCUGGCGGAGCAGAGGGGACAGAGGAAUACAGGAGAGGCCCAGGGAAAGCAAGCAGUAGCACUGAGGACGACAUCUCCAGUGACCGCUGCCUCCUGACUUUCACCAGUUCCCAAUGAGGCCGUCUAUGUUAACGGCUCUGGCAGGGGAAUCUAUCCACUGACAGUGUUAGAGUCCUCAGGAUCGGAUCAUUCUCCCAGACCCAUCAGCCGGGAACCAAGUCACUAACAGUUCCUACUCGGAAGACUCCCCUCGUUUGUGGGAAUGAAAGCAACAUUCUGGUUUAAGUUUCAGAACAGAAUUCAGAGCCCUGAGAGCAUGCCUUGUGCUUUGAGAACAGAAAAGCUUAGGAACUGAGAGCUCUAAGUAGCCGGCCCCUGGGGGUGGAGGUGGGGGUGAGGACCAGAACAGCGCCUAAUUUUGAAGGGAAACAGGAAGAGGUCUGAGUCACACUCAUCAGCUCUCACACCGGGAUCUCCAGGCAGCUACUUAGUAACUUUUCUAUCCUCCUCCUGUGCUGUGAAUCAAAGAGCUUAAGAUCCCAGGCUCUGGAGCCAGCCAGAAUUCUGGUGUGAACCCUAGUCCUGUCACUUUCUGGUUAUGAGACCUUGAACGGAUUGAUUAGUACCUCGAUUUCCCCUGCUGUAAAUGGGAUCAGUAAUACUGCGGACGUUUCACAGCAUGAGGGUUGAGUGAGUUAAUAAAAUGUGUUCACAAGAGAGGGAAUGCUAGCCAUCACAGUUUUAGGGCUGAAAAUGGCAUAGCCUAAGACCAGAUCAUUUUUCACCUGGACUAUUUCAUCUGUCUGUCUGUCAUAUAGAUCUAUGCUGACAGAAGUUUUUCUUUUUUCUUUUUUCUUUUUUUUUGG
rnacentral:sRNA from 1 species